rnacentral:lncRNA from 1 species
UCUGGGUGCCUGAGCCGUGUGUGUGUGUGUGUGUGUGUGUGUGUGUGUGUGUGUGUGUGUGUGUGCGUGAUUGUGUAGAGGUGAAAGGGAUGUCACUGAUUUCUUCCUUCAGGGCCCAAAUGUGUGUGUGUGUCCUUUGUCUACCUUUCACCCUCAGAGGAUGCUUCAGCCCAGAAAGGCCUUUCCUGCUUUUCCAUAACUUUGGGAAUAGUAGGGGCUAGCAUGAAAAGUGAGGGUGGCUGGCCUCUGACACCAGCACAGGGAGCUUUGGAUCUGGCAGAUGGGGUUUAACCCUUGAGACUGAAGUCCAAAGUUGGGGGACUGAGGAUCUAGGCCAGCCUGGUUUACAUAGUGAGACCUUGUUCCCAGUGUACCCUAAACAACAACAACUUGGAAUAAUUAUCUUUCCGUAAAUGAGUCAGGGAAGGACAGAACUGGUCUGACUUGGGUGAGGUUGUCACUUCCAAUUGAGUGAAUUUAGCUAUGAGUGACUUUGAGCAAAGUUGUGCAAAGUCUCAUUCCUUUGCAUAAAUGCAAAGAGGGUCCACCCUUUUUUUUCUUACAGCUUCCCUCUAGAGGUUUGUGGAAGUUAGCUUUAUCAUACUCAUUUUAAAAACUUUUUUUGUUUUUUUUUAUUCAGGGAAUGAAACCCAGAACCUGUGUGUGCAUGCUAGGCAAAAACUCUUAUCACUAAGCCACACCCCCAGGCCCUCACUGUGGACCCCUGCCUCUGAGUGUGUCCCAAGUCCUGUUCCCAAGGUAGCAGUUGUGAUUUUCCCAGGCCAGCUAAUAAAGUACCAAUGCUGGAGGGACUGGGAACCAGACAGGGCCUUCUUUCGUGGAAAGGGGACUGAAAUGCAGUUGAAUCUGUUGGCUCCUAUUUGUUUUCUUUGGAGAAUGUGAUUCCCUCAUACCCAGUUGUCUUCCAUGGACAUGUAGCCACUCUGUGCCAGCAGUGUUUAAAGGAGCUGAAUACUCUCACAUUAGAGCCACCAAGGGGUGCCUUCUGGAUGGCCCUGAAGCCAUCACACUGUGAGAGUGCAAGGGCAGGUCCAAGACCUCAGAUGGACAUAUGAAAUCUGAGGACAGGUGUAGCCCUGCCUUUGUGCCUCAGAGAGAAUACUGUCUCAGCUUUUACUGAGGAGGGGGUGCAUCAGGGAGCCUGCCUGAGCAAUUCAGUGCCUGUGUCUCUUGAAGGAUGAGACUAGUACAGCCAACACAGGCAAGAAGUGGUCACAGGUCUUUUGUUUUCUCGUUUCCAGGGAAUGGAGGGGAUUCUGAGUGAGAGGGUGAUGUCUCUCUGUGCUGGUUGUCUUUCCUUAGAUUCCUUCUUAGAUGUCUCUGCUUAGAUUCCUCCUUUUUGGAGAACAUCCCUACCCCCCUGUGAGAUAGUUAGCAUCCUUCUACAUUCUUCUAUCUCUCCGCUUUCCUUUCUCUUCUUUAGUGUCUUAUCACAUGUCCUAGUAUUUAUGAAACCUGCCUCUUUCCCUCCCUCCCUUAACCUAUGACAUCCUCCAGGCCUCCCCUGCAAAUCUGGACUUUGUCUCAGCACCAGUAGGUGCUGGGUAAAUGGUUGGUUGUGAACAACAUAGCUUGGUUCUUAGAUUGAGAAUAGUACUUUUUGCUUUUUGUGUAUGGGUGGUGCAUGUCUGUAUACUUGUUCAUGUGUGUUUACAUGUGUCUACGUGUAUGGGUAUGUGGGUAUGUGGAGGCCUGAGAUUGACAUCUUUGGUCACUCUCUACCUUAUUUAUUUAUUAUUUAUUUAUUUGUCUUUCACUGAGCCUGGCACUUGUCAAUUAGUUUUAUAGCUCCACUUGUUUCUGCCCCUCCAGCUCUGGAGUUAUAGGCAUGUACUGCCAUGGCCAGUUUUACUGUGGGGCUGAGGAUCUGAUCUCAGGUCCUUAUGCUUGCCAGGCAAGCUGUUUCCUUGGCCCUUCUGUGCCACCAUGUAUAGGUAUUUUGUUUGCUUGUAUGUUUGCACUACAUGUAUGCCUGGUAACCCACAAAAGUCAGAAGAAGGCAUCGGAUCCUCUGGAACUGAAGUUAUAGACUGUUGUGAAGAGCUGUAUGAGUGCUGGGAAUUAAACUUGGGUCCUCUGGAAGACCAGUUAGAGCUCUUUAAUCACUGAUACUGCUACCCUCUUUAAAAAAAAGUUAAGCUCUUACUAUGGAGUCCAGGCUGGCUUCAAACUCAGUCUCACCUCUGCCUCCCACUGGGAUUCUAAGCAUGUCUCAGCACGCCAGGCCUGGGGAUGGUUUUUUAGUUAGGAGGAUGGUUUCCUGCUCACAUAUCCCGGCUAUCAUAUCACUGCACUUGGACUUUGUGCAGGUGAGAUUCGGCGCAGCUGAAACUUUCUACCCAGAAGGUUAGAUGGCUGAUGACUGAAGUCGAGUGGACUCUCACUGUGGGCUGUGUUUUCCUUUAACUCUUGUCUGUAAAAGUUGCUGCCAGGAGAGCCAGAGCUUCAGGCAGGCCAACUCUGGGAAGGCUGCAGGUGGCCUUUUCUUCACCCACCUCUCCACCUGAGAUGGCAGGAAGACAGGUUUAUGAUUAACUGCACCAUGUCUUAAAUGCCAUUUCUGGAGGCUGUAAGCAUUAACCUAAAAAAAAAAAUUAGACUUAAAAUCACCAAUUGACCAUAUCCGGGGCUGAACCUGCAUGAUUCAGCUCCUUUUAAAAAUAUCUUUUCUCAACAAAUUGCUUCCUUAACAUUUUAAUUUGUUGAUCAUAAGGGAAGCUUGCCAAAUAUUAGCUGUUCUUUUCCAUUUCCUCCUGCUUGCAGCUCGCCUUAUUUGGCAUAUUUCAGUGGACUGGAAGGUCACUCCCUGUGUUUUCUUCCCAAAUAACUGUAUUUAUUACUGUCAGAUAUUGGCGGGUUUGAUCCAGCUGUCAUCAGAACGUUUGGAAAUCGAGGUUUCUGCCAGAAGGCUGAUUUAAUGGUCUCAUACUGACACUGCUUGUUUUCUCUGCUGACUUGAUAACUUGUUGAAUGAGCUUUCUGCACUGAGCCACAGAUCUGCCCUUCUUUGUCUUUUGCAUAGCCAUAGGUUUCUCGGACCAUGUCUAACACAGGAGCAGGAGGUUGUCCCCUCUUCUCUCCUUUCCUUUUUACUUACUUAUCUCUUUUGGUCAUUUGACAGGGUCUCACUUUGUAACCCUUGCUGGCCUGGAACUCACUGUAUAGAUCAGGGGGGUUCUGAAAUAGGGGAGAUCUUCCUGCCUCUGCCUCCCAAGUGCUUGCAUUCCAGGCAUGUGCUAUGAAUAUGAAACCCCUCUCUCUACUUUUUUGUGAAGGUCUCAACUAGACUGGACCAGUAACAAAGACUCCCCUGCAGACAGACAACAUUGCUGUUGGUAUUGUAGAAGAUAAUUUAGAAAGAAAAAAUUUCCUUGGAAAGAUUUCAAAUGUAUGCAAGAUUAGAGCCAUGAACCCCUCUGCUGUUCCCUUCUUUUUAUUGGCUCAUAGCAGUCCAGUCACAUUUGUAGCCCCAGUCCUGGACUUUGAAAAGGGCAUCACAGUAUUCAUAAAUAUUUAAACAUGUAUCUUCUUGUUGCUGCCAUGAUGGGGACAGAAUAAGGGUUGUACUUGGUAGGUACUGCUCUAUCACUCAGCCCCCGCCCUGCAAGCUUUUAGUUUUCUUCAUUGACAGCCUGGCAACCUGCACAGACUCUUCUUGACUUGGGCAUCUUGUGUCUUAGACUGAGAGGGAUUCUGACUGAUGCUAACUGUGGACAUAGUCACCUGGCCUCAUGCAUAGAGGAGGCAGGGGAUAGUGUCAGCGGUGUUGCUCAUCCCUGCUGGCAGUGAAGCUUGGGAUGUUUUCCUUUGGCAGUGACCACCUUCAUUAUUUGUUUGUUUUAGAAAUAGGGUCUCACGUAGCCCAGGCUGGCUUUUAAUUUGCUAUGUAGCUAAGGAUGUUCUUAAGCUUCUGAUCUUCCUGCCACCACCUCCCAUGUGCUGGAAUUAUUGGCAUAUGCCCUGAUAUCCAGUUUAUGAGAUACUGGGGACAGAAUCCAGGGUUUUGUACAUGCUAGGCAAGCACUUUAUUGAGCCACUCCCCCAGUUUGCCACCUUGGUUAUUGAACAUGUGAUAUGCUUCAGGUCAUAUCCCUGGUCCCCACUGUGGUGUCUAUGUGGCUCAUGCUGAUCAUCUGAAACAAUACUGCACAAUAGUCACUUCUCUGAGGAACAGAAUCUAUGACGGGGAAGAUCUCUUUCCACAUUUAGCUGCCUAGCUAUGAAGAGCCAGUAACAGGUGUUGGAUUUGCAAUCCAUUGCCACCCCAAACUUGUGGAAAUGUAGUCAUCUGAGUGUAAUAAGCUGCCAGGCACACUCAGCUGUUUAUUGGUGGUAGUUGUAUCCCCAAGGCAUAGUACUCUGGCAGGGUAGGAUGUUGUCCCUGGCCUUGAGACCAGCCUGGCUAGGUAAGUGGAAGGCUGGGGGCUCUUGUUGUAGAAGCAGGGUGAAGUGGGACUGGGCAGAGAGCAAGUCCACACCAGUCCUAAUUUGCUGGUAGUUCUGCUAGGCCUUGAAGCAUGUGGGAGAUUUUUCACAUGCCUGGACUGGCUGGUGGCUUGUGUCAAUCACCAGAGCAGUAAUCUCCGUUACCAGUGUGAGUCAUUUCCUUGGGACUUUUCCUCUAACUCUGGAUUCAUGCUAGCUGUUCACAUCACUUGGCCAUAUGCUAGCCAACUUUCUAGGCUUUGGGGUGCAUGAUGAGGACAGUCAGGAUAACUCUUGCUGUCACUGCUUAAAUUCUGUGUGUGUGUGUGUGUGUGUGUGUGUGGCUGGUUGGAGGUCAAUCUUAGGUGUCUUCCACAGUUACUCUCUCUACUUUUUGAGAAGGGGUCUUUCACUCCCCCCCCCCUUUUUUGAGACAAUCAUAUUAUGUAGCUUCAGCUAGCCUGGAAUUCACUCUGUACAGUAGGCUGUCCUGGAAUUUGGAGAGAGUUGCCUACCAUUGCCUCUUGAAUGUUGGUAUUAAAGGCAUGCUAUAGCACACCUGACCAUUUUUCCAUGGAAUCCAUUGAUUCAGCUAUGGUGGCUGGCCAGUGAGCAUGAGUAGUACUUCUGUUUCUGCCCUCUCAGCACUGAGACUGCAAGCAUGUGCCACUAUACUUGACUUAAAAAAAUUUAAUGUGGGUUCUGGGGAAUCAAACUUAUGUCCUCAUGCUUGCACUGAGCUAUCUCCACAACCCCAAGUUCUAGAAGGGUUAUAGGGUGAACUAAGCUAUGCUGUGGAUGAAAUGUGUGCUCUGUUAAGCACCCUUUGCUCUUGAGACUAGGCUGUGUGUGUGUACCUGGCCUUCCAGCCACUAAUUGCCCUUCAGCUGGGCAUCCUGCCCAUGCAAUGGUAUCCAUUCAGGCCCAGGCGGUACUGGAGAAGGCAGAACACAGCCUCUCAGCCUCAGAAUAACUCCUUUCCUUCUUUACACUGGCCUGUGAAAGGGCAUGGCUUGCCUUUGCCUGAGUGGUUAGUGACCUGAUUUACAUGAGAGGCCAGGCUUAAUCCUGGUGUGAUGCCCACCUACAUAUUGCCAGGCUAUGUUCACCAGGCUGAAGGUAAGGGCAUCGAGUGGAUUUUUCUACAAUUACAAGCCCUCUAUGUGUGCUGAGAAAGAAAUAUCACACCUGAGGUUCCCAGCUCCAAAGGCAUGAUGACAAGUGAAGUUUGGACAAUUUGGAUCAGAAUAUUUAUUUUCUGUGUCUGUCUAAUUCUUUUAAGAGCUGGGGAUAGAGAUGCCUUGCUCAUGCUAGGCAAGGGUUUUACCACAGAGCUACACCUCUAGCACUUUGUCUUAUACUUCUGUUAUAAGAGAUUUUAAAUGCACACCCGAGUGGCAGAGUGUAGUAAGUUCUUCUGUGCUCACUAUACAGCCUCAGUAUUUCCAUACCCGUGGCCAGCCUUGUUCUAGCCAACCUAUUUUAUCCUCAACUUGGCUUAAGUUUGAAAUAAAUCCUGGUAUCAUUAGAUCUUAUUUGAUUGUGUACAGUUCAUUGUAUAUCUCCAAAACAGGAUGUUCAAAAUAAUCAAAACAACUGCACUAUCAUUAUCAUCCCCAAACUUAUAUCAUUCAGCACUCAGCAUUCCCAUUUUCAGUUCCCUAUAAAUAUCAGAAUUUGAUAUUUCCAUCAUUCCCUUUUCCUUUUCUCCUCCUCAAGACAAGGCCCUACUCUUUAGCUCAGGCUGUCCUUGAAUCACAGCAAUCCUCCUGCCUCAGCCUCAGUGUUGUUGUUGGUUGAUGGUUGUUUUGUUUUGAAACAGGUUCUCAUAUAGCAAAGGCUGACAGUGGUGGCUAUAUAUUUAUUUAUUUAAUUUAUUUUCCGAUUACUUUUGUGGUUUGAGUGUGUGCCUGCAUAUCCUGUGUAGGUAUUAAUUACAAGCCAGCGUCGACUCCUGGAGCUGGUAUUAAAAGUGCCCUGAUGGCUUCCUUUCCCUUUCGUCCCUCUAAUCCCUCUCAUGUGCUCUCUUUCAAACUCAAGGCCUCUUUUUUUCUUUUAAGAUUUAUUUAUUAUUAUAUGUAAAUACACCGUAGCUGUCUUCAGACACUCCAGAAGAGGGAGUCAGAUCUUGUUACGGAUGGUUGUGAGCCACCAUGUGGUUGCUGGGAUUUGAACUCCGGACCUUCGGAAGAACAAUCGGGUGCUCUUACCCACUGAGCCAUCUCACCAGCCCUCAAGGCCUUUUAAUACUGAUUUACACAUGUUUCAGUUGGAGUACUUCUGCAUGAUGGAUGGAUUUUGUGAGCUAACUUAAUUCUUCUUUCCUUCCUUCUUCUAUCAUGCCCCUCUUUACCUCCCCCUCCUCCUUCUCUCUUCCCUUCCUUGCAACUCAAGGCCCUGAACAGGCUAGGUGAGUACUCUACUCCUGACCUAUAU